rnacentral:rRNA from 1 species
UCGGUGAAAUACCACUCUUACCAUAGUGGAUUCCUUAACUUCGGACCCUGAUCGGGUUCAGGGACAGUGCCUGAUGGGUAGUUUAACUGGGGCGGUUGCCUCCUAAAGAGUAACGGAGGCGCCCAAAGGUUCCCUCAGCCUGGUUGGCAAUCAGGUGUCGAGUGUAAGUGCACAAGGGAGCUUGACUGUGAGACUGACACGUCGAGCAGGGACGAAAGUCGGGACUAGUGAUCCGGCACCGGCAUGUGGAAGCGGUGUCGCUCAACGGAUAAAAGGUACCCCGGGGAUAACAGGCUGAUCUUCCCCAAGAGUCCAUAUCGACGGGAUGGUUUGGCACCUCGAUGUCGGCUCGUCGCAUCCUGGGGCUG